CUACGGGGGGCUCCAGUGGGGAAUAUUGCACAAUGGGGGAAACCCUGAUGCAGCAACGCCGCGUGGAGGAUGACGCAUUUCGGUGUGUAAACUCCUUUUAUAUAGGAAGAUAAUGACGGUACUAUAUGAAUAAGCACCGGCUAACUCCGUGCCAGCAGCCGCGGUAAUACGGAGGGUGCAAGCGUUACUCGGAAUCACUGGGCGUAAAGCGCGCGCAGGCGGCCCCUUAAGUUGGAUGUGAAAGCCUACGGCUUAACCGUAGAACUGCAUCCAAAACUGAGGGGCUAGAGUCUGGGAGGGGAAGAUGGAAUUAGUUGUGUAGGGGUAAAAUCCGUAGAGAUAACUAGGAAUACCAAAAGCGAAGGCGAUCUUCUGGAACAGUACUGACGCUGAGGCGCGAAAGCGUGGGGAGCAAACAGGAUUAGAUACCCCUGUAGUC
rnacentral:rRNA from 1 species